ensembl:lncRNA
AGGUGCUUUAAUUUCAGAACUUUUAAAGGUUUUCAAACAGAGAAAAACAUAAUUAAAAAUAAAUCAUCUUUGGUGCAGUUCUGUAAGCAUGAGUAACACUUACAGCAUCAAUAUAAUUAUGAAUUCAUAACUAUAAGUGAGGCUAUAGUCCUCCAGACCUCUAUGAAUAUCAUUAAACGUGCCUCAAUCUGUCAUCUCAUUACAAGCGAGCAAAUAAACAUUGCUUUUUUCCUGUUUUACUUUAUGGAUUUUUAGCGUCAGCGAUAUUAAAAAGUGCAAAGCAAUUCUAAUACGGCCUCAAUUUACAUGAUUAAACCUCUGAGAGUCACCUUCAGACGCACCUGACGGCUCCAUUAACAUUCAGAACACUCCCAAAAUCACCUUCUUCCUCAGGAUUUCUCUCUUGAUAUCUAAACGUUCUUAGAUCAAGAGAAGCAAAACAACUGAAGAUAUUGUCUGAACAGUGACUGAAGUCUUGUUUUAGGAAAAAUCUUUAAGCUUAAAACAAGAAAAAGCAAAAAAUAUAUAUAUAUUUUUACUGUAGGGGUGUGAUUGACCUCUCCUCUAUGCAGGUCAGUCAGAGGUCAGUCCGAGGUCAGUGUGCAAUCAGUCUGAGGUCAGAGGUCAGUGUGAGGUCAGUCCGAGGUCAGCGUGCGAUCAGUCUGAGGUCAGAGGUCAGUGUGAGGUCAGUCCGAGGUCAGUCAGAGUUCAGUGUCUGAUCAGUCUGAGGUCAGAGGUCAGUGUGAGGUCACAUGGCGUGUGUCUGAUCAUCAUGUUUGUGGAUAAAGCUGAAUGUAUUGACUGUGUGUUUCACUGAAUUCGCUGAACUGACCGGCAGCUUGACUUUUAAAGUCGUGUCUGGUUUGCGUUUCUCUUACUUUCACUGAGAUGUUUGGGGGAUUGUUUUACUCUCUCAGUAGUUUAUUCCUGAAAGAAAGAAGGGCAUGAAGACGCUGAGCGCAGAAGUGAAGGAUGAGAGUCAUGUCCUGAAAUCUGACAAAUCUAAAAUCAAGCACGUUUCACCACAUGAGUGUACAAAAUAUAUCAGUGUCAUGAAUGAAGUCUGCUGAUAAUCUACAAAUGAGUUUAAGAGAAAUGUCUUUGAAU